GUAUUAAGUGCGCGAAAUGAGUGUUUUUUUAAUGGCGCCUGAGAAUGUUAUUUUAGUCGAGACCGCCAGGUCGAGACCUAAAAGACAUUCGAAGGCGCCAUUAAAACAUGAAUUUCGCCACGAAAUACAAACAACGUUUUUUCUACAGCCUCCAGAUGAAGAAAAAAGUAACAGAAAUUAGUUGGAACAAAAUGGUCUGAUAAAUCGAGUUGCUUGCAUGGUUACGAUGAUAAAUAAAAGUGAUAGUUGCGAAAAAUUUGUCACAAUAGGUAUUUUUGUUGAAGAAGUGUGAUGGAUUUUAGCAGCGAAAACGAAAUAGAUGCAAUUGCAAGCGCGGCAGUGUCGAAUCUUUUGCCUGCUAAAUCAAGACCGCAGUACGAAAAAACGUAUCUUCAGUUUCGGCAGUGGUGUUCUAUGAAAAAGAUUGAUCAAGUAACGGAAAAUGUUUUGUUGGCGUAUUUGGAAGAAAAGUCUACCACCUUAAAGCCACCAACACUCUGGGCCCUUUAUGCGAUGUUGAAAGCCACCUUAAACGUUAAAGAGAAUAUCGAUACACAAGCAAGAAGUCGCAAAUUUUAGACAAAGAAGACAUUAGCAAGUUUAUUAAUGAAGCAGAUGACAAGAUAUAUUUACUGAUGAAGGUAAACUUAUCAUAUUAGUGUAAUACAAAUCAAAACAACUCGUUUUAUUUAUAGACUGUGCUAAUUUUGGGUAUAUCGGGAGCCCUUCGACGUGAAGAAUUAGUUAAAAUGAAGCUAACUGACAUAGAAGAUAAACAGUCUGUCUUAAUUGUGAAGGUGCCUGAUACAAAAACCCACUGCGAACGAAUAUUUACUGUUUCAAAUUUAGAAAAUAUAGAAAUUGUCAGAAAAUAUAGAGCUUUGCGGCCUCCACGGGCGACUAGUGACCGUUUAUUUUUAAAGUAUACCAACGGAAAAUGUGUGAAUCAAAAUGUUGGAAUUAACAAAAUCGGAGAGAUACCAAGUUUGAUUGCAAAGUGGCUUAACAAAGACGAACCUAAAAAAUAUACUGGUCACUGCUUCAGAAGAAGCUCUGCCACUCUUUUGGCGAAUGCUGGAGGUGAUCUAAUUUCAAUUAAACGUCAUGGGGGCUGGAGAAGCAGCACAGUGGCAGAAAGUUACAUCGAGGACUCUUUGAAUAAUAAAAUUGAAAUUGCCAAUAAAAUUCAACCUUCUUCCUCCACAGAAGAAAACAAAAUCACUCAACCUUCUACAUCGGCUUCUUUUAAUGGCGAAAAUAACUUUCAUUUACAAGCGUCUUCACUCAGGCCUCUGGGGAUAAACGGGGGCACGUUUUCGUCAUGCACAUUUAAUUUUCAUAUGUCAAAGUAAAUAUCUAUUAUUAUUGUUUUGUAAUAUUGUUCUGUAUAAUUAUAAAACCUUUAAAACUA